GAGUUUGAUCUUGGCUCAGAUUGAACGCUGGCGGCAUGCCUUACACAUGCAAGUCGAACGGCAGCACGGGAGCUUGCUCCUGGUGGCGAGUGGCGAACGGGUGAGUAAUGCAUCGGAACGUAUCCUGGAGUGGGGGAUAACGUAGCGAAAGUUACGCUAAUACCGCAUAUUCUGUGAGCAGGAAAGCGGGGGACCUUCGGGCCUCGCGCUCUUGGAGCGGCCGAUGUCGGAUUAGCUAGUUGGUGAGGUAAAGGCUCACCAAGGCGACGAUCCGUAGCAGGUCUGAGAGGAUGAUCUGCCACACUGGAACUGAGACACGGUCCAGACUCCUACGGAGGCAGCAGUGGGGAAUUUUGGACAAUGGGGGCAACCCUGAUCCAGCCAUGCCGCGUGAGUGAAG
rnacentral:rRNA from 1 species